rnacentral:ncRNA from 1 species
UUCUUAUUAAGAGAGGCGGAGGGAAUUGGCCCUAUGAAGCCUCGGCAGCGGGUUCUGCAUGAUGCAGAAUACUGUGCCAACUCCAACAAGCUGAAAAAGGCUUGGAAGAUAAGAA